GACGAACGCUGGCGGCGUGCUUAACACAUGCAAGUCGAACGGAAAGGCCCUGCUUUUGUGGGGUGCUCGAGUGGCGAACGGGUGAGUAACACGUGAGUAACCUGCCCUUGACUUUGGGAUAACUUCAGGAAACUGGGGCUAAUACCGGAUAGGAGCUCCUGCUGCAUGGUGGGGGUUGGAAAGUUUCGGCGGUUGGGGAUGGACUCGCGGCUUAUCAGCUUGUUGGUGGGGUAGUGGCUUACCAAGGCUUUGACGGGUAGCCGGCCUGAGAGGGUGACCGGCCAGAGUGGGGGAGAGUUGCGGCAGGGGCUGAUACGGGAGGCAGCAGUGGGGGAUGUUGGACGAUGGGCGGAAGCCUGAAGCAGCAACGCCGCGGGGGGGAUGAGGGACUUCGGGUUGUAAAACAAUAACGCCUGGGAAGAAGCGUGAGAGCAGGGGAUGGGAAAAGAAGGACGGGCAAAGUAUGUG
rnacentral:rRNA from 1 species